rnacentral:rRNA from 1 species
UUUAUAUUUAAUACAUUUAGUACGAAAGGAACAUUGUAAAAGUUUUAAACUUUAAAGAUUUUGAAAUCUUU